UGCAGGAUGACGGUCCUAUGGAUUGUAAACUGCUUUUGUACGGGAAGAAACACUCCUUCGUGAAGGAGCUUGACGGUACCGUAAGAAUAAGGAUCGGCUAACUCCGUGCCAGCAGCCGCGGUAAUACGGAGGAUCCAAGCGUUAUCCGGAAUCGUUGGGUUUAAAGGGUCCGUAGGCGGUCUUGUAAGUCAGUGGUGAAAGCCCAUCGCUCAACGGUGGAACGGCCAUUGAUACUGCAGGACUUGAAUUAUUGGGAAGUAACUAGAAUAUGUAGUGUAGCGGUGAAAUGCUUAGAGAUUACAUGGAAUACCAAUUGCGAAGGCAGGUUACUACCAAUUGAUUGACGCUGAUGGACGAAAGCGUGGGUAGCGAACAGGAUUAGAUACCCUGGUAGUCCACGCCGUAAACGA
rnacentral:rRNA from 1 species